AUUGAACGCUGGCGGCAUGCCUUACACAUGCAAGUCGAACGGCAGCGCGGGAGCAAUCCUGGCGGCGAGUGGCGAACGGGUGAGUAAUACAUCGGAACGUGCCCAAUCGUGGGGGAUAACGCAGCGAAAGCUGUGCUAAUACCGCAUACGAUCUACGGAUGAAAGCAGGGGAUCGCAAGACCUUGCGCGAAUGGAGCGGCCGAUGGCAGAUUAGGUAGUUGGUGAGGUAAAGGCUCACCAAGCCUUCGAUCUGUAGCUGGUCUGAGAGGACGACCAGCCACACUGGGACUGAGACACGGCCCAGACUCCUACGGGAGGCAGCAGUGGGGAAUUUUGGACUAUGGGCGAAAGCCUGAUCCAGCCAUGCCGCGUGCAGGAUGAAGGCCUUCGGGUUGUAAACUGCUUUUGUACGGAACGAAACGGUCUUUUCUAAUAAAGAAGGCUAAUGACGGUACCGUAAGAAUAAGCACCGGCUAACUACGUG
rnacentral:rRNA from 1 species